rnacentral:rRNA from 1 species
UACGUAGGGUGCAAGCGUUGUCCGGAAUUAUUGGGCGUAAAGGGCGCGUAGGCGGCUCGGCACGUCCGUUGUGAAAUCGCCCGGCUCAACUGGGCGGGGUCGGCGGAUACGGCCGAGCUGGAGCAAGCUAGGGGGUAAUGGAAUUCCCGGUGUAGUGGUGGAAUGCGUAGAUAUCGGGAGGAACACCAGUGGCGAAGGCGGUUACCUGGAGCUUUGCUGACGCUGAUGCGCGAAAGCGUGGGGAGCGAGCCGG